GCUCGAAUAGUUUAACAAAAACGCUGGUUUGUGGGGCCAGAGAUGCUAAGUUUGAGUUUUGAGCA
rnacentral:tRNA from 1 species